rnacentral:misc_RNA from 1 species
GAAAUGCGAUAAGUAAUGUGAAUUGCAGAAUUCAGUGAAUCAUCGAAUCUUUGAACGCACAUUGCGCCCGCCAGCACUCUGGCGGGCAUGCCUGUUCGAGCGUCAUUUCAACCCUCAGAACCCCUUGCGGGAUCUGGCGUUGGGGAUUGGCAUCCAGCCAGCCCCGAAAUCUAGCGGCGGUCCCUCCGCGACCUCCCCUGUGCAGUAGCGAUACCUCGCAGCGGGACAGCGGUCUGACCACGCCGUAAAACCCCCAACUUCUCAAGGCUGACCUCGAAUCAGGUAGGAAUACCCGCUGAACUUAAGC